AGAUCGCUGCCGUGGACACUCUAAAAUGUAUGUUACAUUUGGAUGCAUGAACACUGACACAGUGCAAGAAAUUCUACAUUCCAUGGAAAUUUAAAAGAAAGUAUGCAGAAAAACCAGAAGUCCUGGUUUGCAUAGUCCAUGUCAGCCAGUCUCUGCACUAUUGGCCCAAGACCACAACCUGAUUUUCUGAGCAUGUAAUCAGGCAACUCUGGUGAUAUCUUUGCGUGAUAAUGGGGAUAAUGUGCUUGUUCAAAUGAAGACUUUGGCUUGGUCAGAAGCAGGCUGUGUGCUAAAGAUUUGUUACACUUUAACAAAGGAUGGUGACACUGAUUUGCAGGCAGAAAUCACACUGUUGUCAAUGAAAACUAUGCAUAGAGUUCAAGUGUGCAACAAGACACUUCACCUCUAAUUCAUCUCAGGGAUUGCCUUAUUUUAAUAUCAGGUCACUCCAAAAGUAAUGUUUCCUAUUUAUUUCCAUGGAAACUAGAACAGAUACAAGGAGAACAAUAACACUCUUUGAUAGAGCAAAUUCUCAGUUACAAAACAGUAUUUUUCAAUAAAGUCAUCACAAUUAACUAUGCAUUUUUGCCAGUGAUAAACAAGUCUGCAUGCCACACUUGGAAAAAUCUUCACCAGUGAAGAUGACCUACUGUUACUGUUGCCACUGAUGAAAUGCAUCACCCACCACCUCUGUUCGGUCUCCAUAAAUGUUCAGAAAGCAUCAUUGGAUGUCAGUGGGUGACUUUUUCUUCACAUGGAGGAAUUCAGAUACACACCUUUGCUUCAUAUGCACUUCCAGAUGCCAUUUUGUCAGACUGCCCUUCUGUGGUCAUCUAUUGCCCAGCAACAAUAUGUAAUGGAGUAUUGGUUGGGAGGUUCAGCCUCUACUGCUAGAUCACCAGCAUCUGCCUCUGAUGUUGUGGACCAACAUAACAAAAUAGGAGGCAUUACUUUCAGAGCACCUCUCAAACAGACAUCUUUGAGCUGAACGAAAUUGGGAUGGAUUUUUAAAGAUGUUGGCUUCAGAUCCGUGCUGAUGAGAGGUGAGAAAAUACUUGCCGUUCCACGGACAAGUCGAAAACCUGCCUGAGCAAACUGCCAGUUUGACUGUUUGUAAAGUGGCCGCAGACCAGGGAAUCGCUAUGCACAGCCAAGUGUCAAAUAUUCGCCUGGCGUGUUUUGGCAUCAUUUCAUCUUCUUCUGCAGAGGCAUGCUGAUUCUCAUCAGAAAAGAUCUGGUUUUAAAGGGCACAUAACUAUUUUGAAGCUCUGUUCUAUUUUUUCUUUUUUUCCUACAGUUUUCUUGGAAGUAACAGUUUAAUUUCACUGGGAUGUUCUGAUAAUUUUUUUUUUUUUUUUUUUUUUUACUUCUAGAAUAUAGACAUGAUGAAAAUUGCAGCACUAGAGCAAACAACACUACGUUAAAGUGUAAUCUGAGAAGAAAAGCACUACAAAUCUGCACUGGACAAUACAAAAAAAGCUUUAUUAAAACAGCCAUUUUACAAGCUAAAAAAAAAAAAUCAAAAUCUUUUCUGCCUCUAAGAACUUUUUUAAAAUUUUUAAAUUUUUUAUUUUUUCCCUUUAAAUACUCAUAUUCAGUGCUGGUAAUCAGCAUUUACAGACAAGAGUUGUAUUGUCUCAAGAAGACACGCAGCAGGGACAGGGAAAGAAAUGUAAGCCAGAUUGCAUCUAGGUCUAGAAGUGUUUAGAGUUCAAAGUAGAAAUUACCUUUAAGUAAAAAUAAUGGAAAGGAAUAUAUGCCUCUAGAAUAGUUCCCUAGAUAAGCAGGAGUAAACAUGCUGAGUGGUAGAGGACAUUUUACCUGCAUGGCUACUGAUGCCAAAACAAUGUGAAUGCCUCAGUGCCUGCUCUUUUACAUCAGAACAGGUGUUAAAGCCUGGUCUUAUACUGCUCUUUGAGGGAUUUAUGAAGUCGUGUGAUGUGUACCCCCAUCCUGCCUACUUGUGGGAUUUUCAAGGCUUAUAUUGCUCACUCCAGAGCAUGUACAUACACAGUUCAUACACAGUUAUGGGAAAGUUGGUUUCUCUUCAGUGGUGAAUUUCAAUUUAGAGAUGUUCUUUCUUAACCUGGGCCCAAUAGAACUGAAUUUUUGUUCUUUCAGACUUCCCAAGGGAAAAGAUUGUCUUGGCUCUCAAAGAUAUUCAAUAUAGUUCUAAAAAAGAGUUAGGUAAAUGGCUUGUAAAUUCUGGAAAGUUGGAAUAUUCUCCACUGUCAACUCAGCAGUGCUCACAAGUACUGUGUUCUCACUUGAUGUCGUUAAAGACCAAAGCGGUCACCCUAAUUGAAAACAGUAUCAGUUAGGCAUUCAGGAUGAGGAUCUGUUUUCCAUGUUAAUCACUGCUAAAUUAGUUGUGCUGUUACUGAGCAGGGAAUUAAGACUAAGAUUUUCAAAGUCUUUAGCAUUGUCCCACUCUGUCAUUUUGGUUAUGUAAUUAAACAGUCUCUGAGAGAUCAUUUAAGAAGAAAUCAGGGUGUGCUUUUCCACAAAAUGUUUCACAUCCAUUCUUUUCUGUAGAAAGCUGAUGAAAAAAUUAAUUUUGGUAAAAUGUUAGAACAAGCUUUCAAACUAUACUAUGCCACAGAGCAUGAGAUAAUAUGUGUAGCCAGUAUAUCCAUCUACAUUAAAAUUGAGCUUGUUUCAGCUGUACAGUGGAGUCUACAACAAGCACCCACUGGCUUCACAGAUCCCAGUCUGUACUCUUGUGGGAUGCAUUCUAUUGUGAGCAAUGGCAUUCCGUGGAUGAUUCACCUUCUUGACAGAAAUUCUAGCACUUUUGUGUGUUUUUCAGUAGCUGCCAUAUCAACAAAAAUGGUAGCAUUCUAGCAGGAAGUAUAAUUAUAUAGCCACAUGUGUAUCCCUCUUCCUCAGACACUAUAUCAUAUUUUAUUUUUUGUGUGAUUGUCAUUAAUUUGCCAACAAAUUAUGUUUUGUAUUUCAGGCGAAGAGCAGAGAUACCAUUUUAUAAGUGCUGAGAACAGCCAGAUAUUGUUAGUAUGUCUUUGACAUAUUUUUAUGCAUUCUAAGUUGCUUUAUCAGUCAUUAAAGCUCAUCUUGCAAUUCUUAACAAUCUUGGCCUUGAUCCUAUAAGCAUGUAUAUGCCUUGCUUUAUGCAUAUAAGCACUCCCAUUGAAAUCAAUAUUCAGCCACAUUACAUUAAGUACACGCAUAAGUGUUUGCAGGAUUGAGACUGCCAUUUUUUUUUUCCUGUAUACAUACUAUUUUCUGUCUUGUAUCUAUUGUAGUCUUUUGAGUAAGUGAUUCAUAGACUGAAUAGGGCUCUUCAGAUCUCAUUCCUCACUGAAUGAUACAAUUUCUCAUGUAGUGCCGGAACCCACUCAAGGUUUUCAGUCUUCACAUUCACUUCCACUACUCCAAAUCUCCUACCAAGAGGUAAACUGAAUUUUGUGGCAAUGACAGAAGAUAUUCAUGGGGUGCAUCCAGGGAGGACUAAGAGUGACUUGCAAGGGUGAGGUGGAUGAGGAACUAGAAAAGCCAGGACAUGUUUUGUAGAGCAGUGUGUACUGCAGGAGCUGUCUGUGAAGUUUCAGCAGAGAUCUACAGCGUGGAAGGAGGCAGAGAGAAACUCUGAAGAUUUUGUGAGAGAGAGGGAGGACUGCUGUUCUUGGUGGCUGUAUACUAUACCUGUUCCUACACUUGCUGCGUAUCAUUUAUUUAUUUGCACAAUCAGUUAAAGCAGACUUCAGGAUGGUGUUCUCCUUGAGAUGUGCUAUUGACUGUUCUCGUACCAAUGUGUAGCCUGUCUGAGGGAACUUAAGAUUCUGAGACUGAAUCUUGGAAAACUUCAAUAGAAAUAUCCUACCUUAAAUAUUAGACUCUUACAGAACAAAUCUCUUCCUAUUAUUGUUAUUUCUUUUUCUCAGGAUCACAGAA